UGAACACUCUUUUUUCCUAAUUUUCCCCCCUAUUAACACUUCAAAAAUUGGACAGUGACGAAAUACAGCGGCAACAUAUGAAUGCAGCACCCUGUUGAGUCGUCUAACCGGCAGCCCAUAUCCAAAACAUAAUUAGAGAAGAUAUAAGAAUCGAUAUCCAACUCAGGAAAGCAAAUGCAACGGAUAACUGGAACUUGGUGCAUUCCUCGCCGAAACUGCAACUUCCCAAGUCAUGAAAGUACAACACGGUGACACCAGCUGAAGAAGCAGCUGCAGCGAGCGAUAGUAAUCCUG
rnacentral:misc_RNA from 1 species